AUGGACUCCAGAUUUUCAAGAACUGGACCUGCAACCCAGAAGAGCUUGUCAGGAUGUGGCAGGAAUUCUGGAGGUAGUUUUUUUUGGUUUGGUUUGUUUUGUUCUGUUUUUAAUCUGGGGACUGUUGACCUUGCUGUGAGAAAAGAGGCAACUGAGCAAGCACUGCCACCAGCAAUGUUUAUGGGAAUUAGAAGACCUGAGUUUCUCUUCAGAACUUCUGUGCAAACUGAUAACACUCCAUCCAAAGUGGAUUACGAUAGCAAAUCCUUUGAAAAGGACCUUGUUUUAUGCACCUACAUACCACUACCUCUGAUGAAGCAUUUAUUACAAAGGAAGACUUUAGAGAACAGGCUGUCUCAGAAUCAUCCUGUGCCUCCUGAUUGCUGAGUGUUCGCCUGGACCUUCUGACCACCUUCCUUCUGCUAGACCAUCAGCCUACAGACCUGGUACCUGGAUUUUUGCUCAUGGUGAUUC
rnacentral:lncRNA from 1 species